GAUCUGGCUCAGGAUGAACGCUAGCUACAGGCUUAACACAUGCAAGUCGAGGGGCAGCGGGAUUGAAGCUUGCUUCAAUUGCCGGCGACCGGCGCACGGGUGAGUAACGCGUAUCCAACCUUCCGUACACUCAGGGAUAGCCUUUCGAAAGAAAAAUUAAUACCUGAUGGUAUGAUGAGAUUGCAUGAUAGCAUCAUUAAAGAUUUAUCGGUGUACGAUGGGGAUGCGUU
rnacentral:rRNA from 1 species